UACGUAGGGUGCAAGCGUUGUCCGGAAUUAUUGGGCGUAAAGAGCUCGUAGGCGGUUCGUCGCGUCGGCUGUGAAAUCCCGGAGCUCAACUCCGAGCUUGCAGUCGAUACGGGCAGGCUAGAGUUCGGCAGGGGAGACUGGAAUUCCUGGUGUAGCGGUGAAAUGCGCAGAUAUCAGGAGGAACACCGGUGGCGAAGGCGGGUCUCUGGGCCGAUACUGACGCUGAGGAGCGAAAGCGUGGGGAGCGAACAGG
rnacentral:rRNA from 1 species